rnacentral:rRNA from 1 species
GAUGAACGCUAGCGGCAGGCUUAACACAUGCAAGUCGAGGGGCAACACGGGUAGCAAUACCUGGUGGCGACCGGCGCAAGGGUGCGUAACGCGUGAGCAACAUGCCCUAUACAGGGGGAUAAUCCAGGGAAACUUGGUCUAAUAUCCCAUAGUAUUUAGAGGUGGCAUCACCACUAAAUUAAAGCUUCGGUGGUAUAGGAUUGGCUCGCGUGACAUUAGCUGGAUGGUGGGGUAACGGCUCACCAUGGCGAUGAUGUCUAGGGGUUCUGAGAGGAAGACCCCCCACACUGGGACUGAGACACGGCCCAGACUCCUACGGGAGGCAGCAGUGAGGAAUAUUGGACAAUGGAUGGAAAUCUGAUCCAGCCAUGCCGCGUGCAGGAAGACGGCCCUAUGGGUUGUAAACUGCUUUUAAUGGGACAAUAAGGUUUACCGUAGACCGAUGAGAGUACCAUAUGAAUAGCAUCGGCUAACUCCGU